rnacentral:lncRNA from 1 species
GUGCCCAUAAGCUUUCGUCAGGGCCACGCGGAGGGCGUCCAAUUCCAGUUAGCUCUUAGAUCUAGAUCUGGGUAGUCAAGAGGUAACUAUUGCUGCUUCCAGCACACGGAAAUCUUGGGGGCAUUUUCUUGAUAUGGAAGAGAUGGUAGAAUUUUUGAUAAGUUCGUUUAAACUCACAUUUAGUUUAAUUUUUGAAUAAUCAUGUAGUACUUAAAUAUAUGCAGGCUUGGGGGUGCGUGCCUGCUGCCCCAGCACUAGCAAGGCUGAAACAGGAUCGCAGUGAAGCUGAGUGAGCCUGGGCUCCCUUUAUAUACACAGUUCAGUAUACUUUCCUUUUCUCUUGGCCUGAAUACGUGUUCAUCUUGCUAUCUCUUUUUUAUUUGUUUGUUUUCUUUCCUCCUCCUCCUUCUCUUCUUUGGUUUGUUUGUUUGCUUGCUUGUUUGUGUUUUCAAGAUGGGGUUUCUCUGUGUAGUCCUGGAACUUGCUCUGUGGACCAGGCUGGCCUCUUAACUCACAGAGACCCGCUUGCCCCCCCUCCCGAGGGCUGGGUUUAAAGGGGUGUAACACCAUCACACGGCAUCCUGCUACCUUUUUUAUACUGCAAACUAAAGCAUGUGUAGCAUUGAAUAACACUUUAAGAGAAUAAUUCCAAACACAUUUUUUUUAUAACAGCUUAGAAGGAGGUUAACGGUGUCUAAGAAUAAGUUUGAAUGUGAAAUGAUGUUGUUGCAAAAUGCGAGGCCGGUGUUGUGGUUGUUAAUCUUUUAACCAGUGAUGAGUGGUAACUGCAAUAUGCAAAUGGAGAAAGAGUUAACCAAUGGUAAAUCAAGGCUCGAGGGAAUACAGAGAAGUUACAGACGUGGUACGUCGAGGGCAGGAGGAAUGUCGAGAAGUUACAGUUGUUGUUUUCAGUUUAUUUCAUUUGGUCUAAAAUACUUUUCUGCAAAUGUCUAGGGCUUUGUCCACUAGUCAUUAAUGUCCGGCUCUGACAGCUUAGAAAGCAUUGCACCUGUAGCCAUAUUAGAGUCUGACUGGGAAGGAGUUACGACCUGGCCAGCCAGCUCUUUGUCUUGCUAGAGUUUGACACCAGAACCACCGGAUGUUUCCUGUUGCUGACCGCUCAUGUAAUCCCAUGCUUCCUUCUCACCGUCAGGGUUUCCCCUCCAUGUUGUGAACAUGUGUCCUUUCAUGUUUAGGACAUUCCUGAAUUCCACAUUCACAGUCUCUUGUACCUCCUACCUGCUUUCAUGGCUCGGAGAUGAUGGGCUGCAAAAGUCACUCACUCUCUUAACACAAGGGCACAAGGGACGUUCUAGUCAGUGUUCAUCAGUUUAAAAGUCUCGGGAAAUGCCCGGUUGCUUGCUGAUCUGUAAUGCAGCAUUACGCAUCAGGCUUUAGAUAAUUUACCCAAGGCAAACCUUCAGCAGGAUUUGCCCCCUUCUAGUAAUGAGAUGGAGCAGAGCAGCUGCCCCAGAGGCCAGGGGUGGGGACGCUGGUGUUGAGGCUUUUCCAGGGGACACAGUGAAGUGAAAGCCUGUCUCCUGUGUGUGGUGAUCCAGCUAUCCUGAGUGGCCAGUGGCUUGGCCCCUGCUUACAGGUUAUAGAGAAAUGAACUCGGGUGUUCCGCUUGCCGACAGUGGACUUGUGUGUGUUCCCCCAAAAGCAAGUUUUCAUGAGUGAAAAGUACAAGCUGCCAAAGUAAAAAGCCAACCAUAUUGCCUUCCUUCUUUGCCUUUCAUAUUCAUUAAAGAUGUCAGUUUGGAACAGG